ensembl:snRNA U6 U6 spliceosomal RNA
GUGUUUGCUUCAGCAGCGCAUACACUAAAAAAUUGUAAUAAUACAGAGAAGGUGAGCAUAGCACCUGUGCAAGGAUGGCUCACAAAUUGAUGAAGUGUUCCAAAUUUUC